rnacentral:rRNA from 1 species
GAGUUUGAUCGUGGCUCAGAGUGAACGCUGGCGGUAGGCCUAACACAUGCAAGUCGAACGGUAACAGGUCUUUCGGGAUGCUGACGAGUGGCGGACGGGUGAGGAAUCCAUCGGAAUCUGCUCAGUCGUGGGGGAUAACGCAUGGAAACGUGCGCUAAUACCGCAUACGACCUUCGGGUGAAAGCAGGGGAAUCUUUAGGGAUCCUUGCGCGAUUGAAUGAGCCGAUGUCGGAUUAGCUAGUUGGUAGGGUAAAAGCCUACCAAGGCGACGAUCCGUAGCUGGUCUGAGAGGAUGAUCAGCCACACUGGGACUGAGACACGGCCCAGACUCCUGCGGGAGGCAGCAGUGGGGAAUAUUGGACAAUGGGGGCAACCCUGAUCCAGCCAUACCGCGUGGGUGAAGAAGGCCUUCUGGGUUGUAAAGCCCUUUUGUUGGGGAAGAAAAACAACGGGUUAAUACCCCGUUGGUAUGACGGUACCCAAAGAAUAAGCACCGGCUAACUUCGUGCCAGCAGCCGCGGUAAUACGAAGGGUGCAAGCGUUACUCGGAAUUACUGGGCGUAAAGGGUGCGUAGGUGGUUGCGCCAGUCUGUCGUGAAAGCCCUGGGCUUAACCUGGGAAUGGCGAUGGAAACUGUGCAACUAGAGUGUGACAGAGGGUGGUGGAAUUCCUGGUGUAGCAGUGAAAUGCGUAGAGAUCAGGAGGAACAUUCGUGGCGAAGGCGGCCACCUGGGUCAACACUGACACUGAGGCACGAAAGCGUGGGGAGCAAACAGGAUUAGAUACCCUGGUAGUCCACGCCCUAAACGAUGCGAACUGGAUGUUGGGUCCAACUUGGGAUACAGUAUCGAAGCUAACGCGUUAAGUUCGCCGCCUGGGGAGUACGGUCGCAAGACUGAAACUCAAAGGAAUUGACGGGGGCCCGCACAAGCGGUGGAGUGUGUGGUUUAAUUCGAUGCAACGCGCAGAACCUUACCUGGCCUUGACAUGCACGGGAGUCUUUAGAGAUAGAG